UACAGAGGUGGCAAGCGUUGUUCGGAAUUACUGGGCGUAAAGGGCGCGUAGGCGGCCUACUAAGUCAGACGUGAAAUCCCCAGGCUUAACUUGGGAACUGCGUCUGAUACUGGAAGGCUUGAGUGCGGGAGAGGGAUGUGGAAUUCCAGGUGUAGCGGUGAAAUGCGUAGAUAUCUGGAGGAACACCGGUGGCGAAGGCGGCAUCCUGGACCGACACAGACGCUGAGGCGCGAAAGCUAGGGGAGCAACCGGG
rnacentral:rRNA from 1 species